AUUGAACGCUGGCGGCAUGCUUUACACAUGCAAGUCGAACGGCAGCGCGGGCUUCGGCCUGGCGGCGAGUGGCGAACGGGUGAGUAAUGCAUCGGAACGUGCCCAGUAGUGGGGGAUAGCCCGGCGAAAGCCGGAUUAAUACCGCAUACAACCUGAGGGUGAAAGCGGGGGACCGAAAGGCCUCGCGCUAUUGGAGCGGCCGAUGUCGGAUUAGCUAGUUGGUGGGGUAAAGGCUUACCAAGGCGACGAUCCGUAGCUGGUCUGAGAGGACGAUCAGCCACACUGGGACUGAGACACGGCCCAGACUCCUACGGGAGGCAGCAGUGGGGAAUUUUGGACAAUGGGGGCAACCCUGAUCCAGCCAUGCCGCGUGCGGGAAGAAGGCCUUCGGGUUGUAAACCGCUUUUGUUCGGGAAGAAAUCCUCUGGGCUAAUACCCCGGGGGGAUGACGGUACCGGAAGAAUAAGCACCGGCUAACUACGUG
rnacentral:rRNA from 1 species